AGUGAACGAAUGAAGAAUUGUUCCUAAAUCCUGAAUAAAUAUAGGAAGGAACAAAUCGGACAUGUUCAUU
rfam:Plasmodium falciparum MaliPS096_E11 unplaced genomic scaffold supercont1.69, whole genome shotgun sequence.